rnacentral:rRNA from 1 species
GACGAACGCUGGCGGCGUGCUUAACACAUGCAAGUCGAACGGAAAGGCCCUGCUUUUGUGGGGUGCUCGAGUGGCGAACGGGUGAGUAACACGUGAGUAACCUGCCCUUGACUUUGGGGUAACUUCAGGAAACUGGGGCUAAUACCGGAUAGGAGCUCCUGCUGCAUGGUGGGGGUUGGAAAGUUUCGGCGGUUGGGGAUGGACUCGCGGCUUAUCAGCUUGUUGGUGGGGUAGUGGCUUACCAAGGCUUUGACGGGUAGCCGGCCUGAGAGGGUGACCGGGCAAAUUGGGACUGGGGAGAGGCCCCGACCCCUGGGGGGGGGAGGAGGGGGGAAUGUUGCAAAAUGGGGGGGAGCCUGAUGAAAGCACGCCGGGGGGGGGGUGGGGGCCUUGGGGUUGUAAACCGCUUUCCCCUGGGGCGGAGGGGGGGGGACGGUAAAGGGUAAAAAAACCCCGGGAAACUACGUG